rnacentral:tRNA from 2 species
GGGGCGUUAGCUCAGAGGUAGAGCAUUCGGCUUUUAACCGACCGGUCGUAGGUUCGAUCCCUACACGCCCCACCA